GUCAAUGCAAGUAAUAUGAAGAAAUAGACCUUAGUAUAGAAAGAACAUUAGAGUGUGAGUGGCAUGAGUUAGUUAGUUAAAAAGUUAGUUAAAUAGUUAAAAAUACGCAAAAAUUAACACAGAUCUCAAUAACCAAUGCGUGAGUUGAGCUUAAAUAGUUGAAAAUAAGAAAAAAUUAACACAGAUCUCAAUAACCAAUGCGUGAGUUGAGCUUAAAUAGUUGAAAAUAAGAAAAAAUUAACACAGAUCUCAAUAACCAAUGCGAGAGUUGAGGUUAAGGAAGAACGAAU